AACGGGGGAUGCAAGUGUUAUCCGGAAUUAUUGGGCGUAAAGCGUUUGUAGGUUGUUUAUUUAGUCCUAUGUGAAAUAUUGAAGCUCAACUUCAAAAAAAUAUUGGAAACCCCUAAACUAGAGUAUGUUAUAGGUAAAUGGAAUUUUUAGUGAAGCGGUAAAAUGCGUAGAUAUUAAAAAGAACAUCAAAGGCGAAAGCAAUUUACUAGAACAUUACUAACACUCAGAGACGAAAGCCAGGGUAUCAAAUGGG
rnacentral:rRNA from 1 species